UUUUUUUGAGGGUUGAAAAGCCACUCCAUGCCUCCUGGGCCCACAGAAGUGAAGAUUGACAGGUUGGAGGCCUUCCCCGAGGAAAUGAAACCAGAAUUCUUAUUUGGCAGCAUGGCAGGAAGUGUGGCAAUUACUGGACACACUGGUGAACAUCAGGAAAUGCUUCAAGAGACUACCGUGACUGACACUACUCAGCACAAAGAAUGACCCAUACUAUGCCCAAGUCCCUGAGGGUCCCUGGUUCUUUCCUGCAUGGCACUGCCACCAGCUUUGUGUUCCCAGGAAAUUCCUUCCCAGGCUCUGACAGAGCUCUGCUGCCCAGCUGACAUCGGUUCCAGCAGGCAGGAUGAGAGACUCAACAUCAGACUGCAGGAGGCCAGCAGCGCAUCGAGCAGAUGAUAAAUCAUCCCAAAUGCAUAUUGAGCAGGGAUCACUGAUAUUUCUAAAACACAAACAAAACCGCUCUUAAGUCUGUCCUUCCCGUUACCUGCGCUAACCCUGGGCCAGGCAUGGGUGUAGUGGCAUUUGGGGGCUCUCAAGCUGCAUGUGUAUUUAUAGAUGGCCGGGCAGAGCAGUACGGAAACACACCGACGUCCUGGGAAAGGCACAGUUUUCACGGAUGCUCAGUCCCUUGGGUGCUGCCCCGCAGGGAAGUCAACUCAGUUUUGUGGGUUGAGGGUGGAAGCACAGUCCUCACCAGUGUGCCUUGCUUUAGCAUAUGGUUUUCAGCACUGUUUUCUACCCUUCCCCGCUGCUUAGGGUUGUUCCAGAUCCAUUAUUCAAGCAAAAGCCACUUGGCUGUGCCCUAGUGGGAGAAUGGCUAGGAAAAUCAUGGAUCUGCCUUUUAAUGGCUGUGAGAUUUUGGGCCAAGGACUAAAAUCUCUGCUUUGGUUUCUUCUGUGUGAAGGGGGAGGAAAUAAUGUGCCCCUUUAGAGAAUGAUUGGGAAGAACAAGUGGGGUGAGUGUGCCUGAGUGUGCUGCCCUCGAGGGUUGGCACAUAGGAGGUGGCUUCAAGAGAGAUCUGUAACAUUUCCUAACGGCAAUGACAGCAUGGACGGCACAAUGCCACGUGGUCACGUGGGCAAAACGUAAAAAUCUGCGAGCUGUCCCGUCACAGAAGUGGGCUCCAAAAGGCCUGCUCAUGCACCAGGGUUGGAUUCUGAUCCUACCGCCAGGGGGCCCCUUAAGCAGAUCAUGCUACACAACUGUCUGGCUAUGCGAGAGCUUUGUCCAGUCCCAUGCAGGCCCCACAGCUCUUGAUCUAAAUUUCAUGAGUUCCCACUAGUUUGGUUUGGUUGUCUCUGUAGGUUUCCCCAUCCUGAUCUUGAUGCCCCUUGCUUGUAGGAUCCCUCUUCUCUCUCUUCAGCUGAGGCAGGGGAAGGGGCUUGGACCUGUCUCUACUAAAUGUAUCUCCCCA